rnacentral:tRNA from 1 species
CGGGGUGUAGCGCAGUCCGGUUAGCGUAUCUGCUUUGGGAGCAGAGGGUCGCGAGUUCGAAUCUCGCCACCCCGACAA